rnacentral:rRNA from 1 species
CAUCCUCCAAGGCUAAAUACUCCUGACUGACCGAUAGUGAACCAGUACCGUGAGGGAAAGGCGAAAAGAACCCCGGCGAGGGGAGUGAAAAAGAACCUGAAACCGUGUACGUACAAGCAGUGGGAGCCCCACCACCAAAGCAUUCUCUGGUGUUGAAGGCCCUGCAAAGCAGCAUCGCGGUGGCGGAGCGUCGUUUGCGACGCCCAACACACAAAACAAGCGGUGAGUGCUUUGGGGUGGGGUGACUGCGUACCUUUUGUAUAAUGGGUCAGCGACUUAUAUUCUGUAGCAAGGUUAACCGUAUAGGGGAGCCGUAGGGAAACCGAGUCUUAACCGGGCGUUAAGUUGCAGGGUAUAGACCCGAAACCCGGUGAUCUAGCCAUGGGCAGGUUGAAGGUUGGGUAACACUAACUGGAGGACCGAACCGACUAAUGUUGAAAAAUUAGCGGAUGACCUGUGGCUGGGGGUGAAAGGCCAAUCAAACCGGGAGAUAGCUGGUUCUCCCCGAAAGCUAUUUAGGUAGCGCCUCGUGAACUCAUCUCCGGGGGUAGAGCACUGUUUCGGCUAGGGGGUCAUCCCGACUUACCAACCCGAUGCAAACUGCGAAUACCGAAGAAUGUUAUCACGGGAGACACACGGCGGGUGCUAACGUCCGUCGUGAAGAGGGAAACAACCCAGACCGCCAGCUAAGGUCCCAAAGUCACAGUUAAGUGGGAAACGAUGUGGGAAGGCUCAGACAGCCAGGAUGUUGGCUUAGAAGCAGCCAUCAUUUAAAGAAAGCGUAAUAGCUCACUGGUCGAGUCGGCCUGCGCGGAAGAUGUAACGGGGCUAAACUGUGCACCGAAGCUGCGGCAGCGACGCUUAUGCGUUGUUGGGUAGGGGAGCGUUCUGUAAGCCUGCGAAGGUGUCCUGUGAGGGAUGCUGGAGGUAUCAGAAGUGCGAAUGCUGACAUAAGUAACGAUAAUGCGGGUGAAAAGCCCGCUCGCCGGAAGACCAAGGGUUCCUGUCCAACGUUAAUCGGGGCAGGGUGAGUCGACCCCUAAGGCGAGGCCGAAAGGCGUAGUCGAUGGGAAACGGGUUAAUAUUCCCGUA